GAUGAACGCUGGCGGCGUGCUUAACACAUGCAAGUCGAACGAUGAAGCCCAGCUUGCUGGGUGGAUUAGUGGCGAACGGGUGAGUAACUCGUGAGUAACCUGCCCUUAACUCUUGGAUAAGCCUGGGAAACUGGGUCUAAUACCGGAUAGGAGCGUCCACCGCAUGGGGGGCGUUGGAAAGUUUUAUCGGUUUUGCAUGGACUCGCGGCCUAUCCGCUUGUUGGUGAGGUAAUGGCUCACCAAGGCGACGACGGGUAGCCGGCCUGAGAGGGUGACCGGCCACACUGGGACUGAGACACGGCCCAGACUCCUACGGGAGGCAGCAGUGGGGAAUAUUGCACAAUGGGCGCAAGCCUGAUGCAGCGACGCCGCGUGAGGGAUGACGGCCUUCGGGUUGUAAACCUCUUUCAGUAGGGAAGAAGCGAGAGUGACGGUACCGGAAGAAGAAGCACCGGCUAACUACGUG
rnacentral:rRNA from 1 species